rnacentral:rRNA from 1 species
AUGGCCGUCGCCGUGUCCCGCGCGGUGUUGCUGGCGGCCGUCGCGUCGCUCGCAUGCCUCGCCUUCGCGGAGCCGCCGCCGAGCGAGCGGUCCGCGCUGCUGGCGUUCCUCACGGCCACGCCCCACGAGCGGAGGCUCGGCUGGAACACCUCCACGCCGGCCUGCUCCUGGGUCGGGGUCACGUGCGACGCCGCCCAGUCCACCGUCGUCCAGCUGCGCCUCCCGGGGGUCGGCCUCGUCGGCGCCAUCCCGCCGGCGACCAUCAGCCGCCUCCCCAACCUGCAGGUGCUGUCGCUCCGCUCCAACCGCAUCAUCGGGGGUAUCCCUGACGAUCUGCUCCAGCUCUCCAGCCUCCGCGCCAUCUUCCUGCAGAACAACAUGAUCUCCGGCGCCAUCCCGUCGGGGGUCGGCAAGCUCGCGGCCCUCGAGAGGCUCGUCCUCUCCCACAACAAUCUGUCAGGCCCCAUCCCCUUCGCGCUCAACAGCCUCGCCUCCCUGCGCUCUCUGCGCCUCGAAGGCAACCGCCUCUCCGGCAAAAUCCCCAGCAUCACCAACCCGGAGCUCAAGGAUUUCAAUGUCUCCGUCAACAGCCUCAACGGCUCCAUUCCGCAGGCCCUCGCGCGCUUCCCGGCGGACUCCUUCGCCGGGAACCUCCAGCUGUGCGGCAAACCGCUGCCCGCUUGCAGCCCCUUCUUCCCGUCGUACAAGGCGGUGCUGGAGGAGGGGACGACGGUGGUGGUGAAGCGGCUCAAGGACGUGGCGGUGGCGCGGCGCGAGUUCGACGCGCACAUGGAGGCGCUGGGCAGGGUGGAGCACCGCAACCUGCUCCCCGUCCGCGCCUACUACUUCUCCAAGGACGAGAAGCUCCUCGUCUACGACUAUCUCCCCAACGGCAGCCUCUCCGCCAUGCUCCACGGGAGCCGGGGCUCCGGCCGGACGCCGAUGGACUGGGACGCGCGCAUGCUCUCGGCGCUGUCCGCCUCUCGCGGGCUUGCGCACUUGCACUCCGCGCACAACCUCGCGCACGGCAACGUCAAGUCCUCCAACGUCCUGCUCCGACCGGACUACGACGCCGCCGCGCUCUCCGACUUCUGCCUCCACCCGAUCUUCGCCCCGUCGUCCACCCGCGCCGGCGCCGGCGGCUACCGCGCGCCGGAGGUCGUGGACACGCGCCGUCCCACGUUCAAGGCCGACGUCUACUCCCUGGGCGUCCUCCUGCUGGAGCUUCUCACCGGCAAGUCCCCGACGCACGCGUCCCUCGAGGGCGACGGCACGCUGGACCUGCCACGGUGGGUGCAGUCCGUGGUGCGCGAGGAGUGGACCGCCGAGGUGUUCGACGUCGAGCUGGUGCGGCUCGGCGCGAGCGCCGAGGAGGAGAUGGUGGCACUGCUGCAGGUGGCCAUGGCGUGCGUGGCCACCGUGCCGGACGCGCGGCCGGACGCCCCGGACGUGGUCAGAAUGAUCGAGGAGAUCGGCGGUGGCCAUGGCCAGACGACAACCGAGGAGAGCGCGCGGGGCACCCCGGAGGAGGAGCGGUCGAGGGGCACACCUCCGGCCGCCCCGACGCCGUAA